rnacentral:rRNA from 1 species
UACGGAGGGUGCGAGCGUUGUCCGGAAUCAUUGGGCGUAAAGGGCGCGUAGGUGGCGCGGUAAGCGUGCGGUGAAAGCCUGGGGCUCAACCCCGGGUCGGCCGUGCGAACUGCUGGGCUUGAGCACUGUAGAGGCAGGCGGAAUUCCGGGUGUAGCGGUGGAAUGCGUAGAGAUCCGGAAGAACACCGGUGGCGAAGGCAGCCUUCUGGGCCAACACUGACGCUCAUGCACGAAAGCGUGGGGAGCAAACAGG